rnacentral:rRNA from 1 species
AUUGAACGCUGGCGGCAGGCCUAACACAUGCAAGUCGAGCGAGCGGCGGACGGGUGAGUAAUGUAUGGGGACUGCCCGAUAGAGGGGGAUAACUACUGGAAACGGUGGCUAAUACCGCAUACUAUCGGAUAACCCAUAGGGGAUUAGCUAGGAGGUAAGGUAAUGGCUUACCUAGGCGACGAUCCCUAGCUGGUGUGAGAGGAUGAUAAGCCACACUGGGACUGAGACACGGCCCAGACUCAUACGGAGGCAGCAGGGGGGAAUAUUGCACAAGGGGCGCAAGCCUGGUGCAGCCAUGCCGCGUGUAUGAAGAAGGCCCUAGGGUUGUAAAGUACUUUCAGUCGGGAGGCGUUACCGACAGAAGAAGCACCGGCUAACUCCGUGCCAGCAGCCGCGGUAAUAC